rnacentral:rRNA from 1 species
AGCAGCCGCGGUAAUUCCAGCUCCAAUAGCGUAUAUUAAAGUUGUUGCAGUUAAAAAGCUCGUAGUUGAAUUUCGGGGUCAGUAAGUUGGUCGUGCCACUGGUAUGUACUGGCUUUACUGAUUCCUCCUUCUUGUAGAACCGUAAUGCCAUUAAGUUGGUGUUGCGGGGGAAACAGGACUGUUACUUUGAAAAAUUAGAGUGUUUAAAGCAAGCUAACGCUUGAAUACAUUAGCAUGGAAUAAUGAAAUAGGACGCUCGAUCCUAUUUUGUUGGUUUCUAGGAUUGACGUAAUGAUUAAUAGGGAUAGUUGGGGGCAUUAGUAUUCAAUUGUCAGAGGUGAAAUUCUUGGAUUUAUUGAAGACUAACUACUGCGAAAGCAUUUGCCAAGGAUGUUUUCAUUAAUCAAGAACGAAAGUUAGGGGGAUCGAAGACGAUCAGAUACCGUCGUAGUCUUAACCAUAAACUAUGCCGACUAGGGAUCGGAUGAUGUAAUUUUUAAUGACUCAUUCGGCGCCUUAC